rnacentral:rRNA from 1 species
UUAAACUACAAUUCCUUAAGGUUAAGUGACCCGAAGCGAAAAGAGCUAAUUACACAAAAUCAUAGAACUUUUAGGUGAUCGGAGGUAAUGUGGCAAAAUUACUUUAUAGAUGUGAUAGUUAGGGGUGAAAGGCUAUUCAAAUUUCGCUGAUAACUGGAUUAAACUAAAAAAUAUUAAGUAUUUCGAUACAAGCUCAAAAAUCUAAGCUUUUGGGCUUAUUAAGAUAUAUGUUAGAGAAAUUAAAAUUAAUUUUAUUAAUAUAAUAAUAUAUAAAUUAAUAACUAAUUAAUCUACUAUCGCUUUUAAAUCUUUAAGUUUAUUUAUUUAAGUUAACUAUUAGCUUAUAUUAAUAAUGUCUAAAUGAGUGUAGAAAAAUAAAACAAAAAAGGAACUCGGCAAAAAUUUUCUUCAACUGUUUAUCAAAAACAUAGCUAGUAGGGUGUAUUUAUUAUUAGUUAGCUCUGCCCGGUGAUGUAAAAUUUAACGGCCGCAGUACACUGACUGUGCAAAGGUAGCAUAAUCAAUUGGCUAUUAAUUGUAGUCGAGUAUGAAGGAGUCCAUGGGGAAAAGCUGUCUCUUUUUUUAUUUCUAGAACUUACUAAGCAAGUGCAAAAACUUGCGUUUUAUUAUAAUAGACGAGAAGACCCUAUAAAUUUUUACUAAUAUUAGAAGAUUUCUUGAUCGUUUUUGUUGGGGCAACAAUGUAACACAAUGAAGUAAUUUACAAUGAAAGUAUGAUUUAAUAAAACGAGUUUUACUAAGAACAACUAAAUUACUAUAGGGAUAACAGCAUAAUUUUAAUAUUAAGAUUGUGACCUCGAUGUUGGAUUAGGAGCUUAACAAAUUAACAGUUUGAUUAAGGGGUUCUGUUCGAACUAUUACACCU